rnacentral:ncRNA from 15 species
AUCUUAAAUAGAAAGAGGGUUUGCAUAUGGACUUCACUGGUGUUAUUACAAGCAUUAUUGAUUUAAUCAAGACUUGCAUUCAGACUUUCGGUUAAGUUUUUUGUUUCAACGCAAUAAAAAAACAGAGGAAAUAUUCAACAAUUUGAUUGUUUC